rnacentral:rRNA from 1 species
UUUUACUUUUGUGUUGAGCUGCCAGUAGUCAUAGUGCUUGUCUCAAAGAUUAAGCCAUGCAUGUCUAAGUACAUGCCGUAUUAAGGCGAAACCGCGAAUGGCUCAUUAAAUCAGUCAUGGUUCCUUGGAUCGUACCUUACUACUUGGAUAACUGUGGCAAUUCUAGAGCUAAUACAUGCAGCAGAGCUCCGACCUUCGGGGACGAGCGCUUUUAUUAGACCAAAACCAAUCGGACCUCGUGUCCGUCUCUUGUGGUGACUCUGUAUAACUUUGGGCUGAUCGCACGGGCCUGUCCCGGCGACGUAUCUUUCAAGUGUCUGCCUUAUCAACUUUCGAUGGUAGGUUACGCGCCUACCAUGGUCGUAACGGGUAACGGGGAAUCAGGGUUCGAUUCCGGAGAGGGAGCCUGAGAAACGGCUACCACAUCCAAGGAAGGCAGCAGGCGCGCAAAUUACCCACUCCCAGAACGGGGAGGUAGUGACGAAAAAUAACAAUACGGGACUCUUUUGAGACCCCGUAAUUGGAAUGAGUACACUCUAAAUCCUUUAACGAGGAUCCAUUGGAGGGUAAGUCUGGUGCCAGCAACCGCGGUAAUUCCAGCUCCAAUAGCGUAUAUUAAAGUUGUUGCGGUUAAAAAGCUCGUAGUUGGAUCUCAGUUCCAGACGGGUGGUCCUCCUACCGGUGGUUACUGCCUGUUCUGAACAGUCAGCCGGUUUCUCUUGAUGAUCUUCACCGGUUGUCUUGGGUGACCGGCAAGUUUACUUUGAAAAAAUUAGAGUGCUCAAAGCAGGCGUGACGCCUGAAUAAUGGUGCAUGGAAUAAUGGAAUAGGACCUCGGUUCUAUUUUGUUGGUUUUCGGAACACGAGGUAAUGAUUAAGAGGGACAGACGGGGGCAUUCGUAUUGCGACGCUAGAGGUGAAAUUCUUGGACCGUCGCAAGACGAACUACUGCGAAGACUUUGCGCCGGAGGGAA